UCUGGGUUUAUCCCAGCGGUCCCGUUAGAGAAAUAUAACUAACGGCGGGGGUUGCGCUCGUUGCGGGACUUAACCCAACACCUCACGGCACGAGCUGACGACAGCCAUGCAGCACCUGUACUAGCUCCCCGAAGGGUCCUUCAUCUUUCGAAUCCGUACCACUAGCAUGUCAAGCCUUGGUAAGGUGGGGAUGACGUGUCUAGGAGGGUG
rnacentral:misc_RNA from 1 species